rfam:Omnitrophica WOR_2 bacterium RIFCSPHIGHO2_02_FTLL_48_11 rifcsphigho2_02_scaffold_2467, whole genome shotgun sequence.
GCCCCUGUAGCUCAGCCGGUAGAGCACGUCCUUGGUAAGGACGAGGUCACCGGUUCAAGACCGGUCGGGGGCU